UCUCUUACCUUUCGUCAUCUUUUUCUUCUUUACCAAUCCAUCGAGUGGAGCGAGCUACAGCUUGAUUCAUUGUUGUUCAUGUCAAUCGCAAGUUAGAGGUACACGAGCGCUCGUUCUGAGCUCGAGCUGAACGCCGAUCAGUGCCCAACCAAACGUCUGUUCUAGGCUUGGUUGAGAGCCCUAGUAUACAUAGGGGUAGACAUCCCUAAUGUUGUAGGGUAUUUCUACAACCUCGAUACGAAAUGGAACUCUGAAUUCUGUCGGAGCAAUGGUGGUGGCUCCAAGUCGGAGAGGUUCAUAUCAAUCAGGGAUCGCAAUAUGUCAUCCAAUGAGAAUGGUCGAUUGCGAAGCAACUGAUUCUCUGACUCCAAUGUGCUGAUCUUGCCUUCGAGGCUGAAGAACAGUUCCAAUUUAUAAAUCAAGCUCUUUGCGAAGUCAUUUUAGAGACAAAAUAUCAAUUCAUAAUGUAAGGGCACGUGCAAUUCCAUAUCAGGUGAGUUCUUCGACCUUCUUUUCAAGCUUGUCCUUGGCUUCUUUGAGUGCUCCUGUCUCUCUUGCAGCCUACAGAAACAUUUUGUCAGUAUUUGUACUUCUCUUCCAUAACAUCCAACAAACUGUAGACAAGAACGAGCUUUGUAUAGACGCCAUUGAGUCUGCAGGCCACAACAAAAAAUAGAUUAAUACUUCUAAUCAAUCUUAAGGUACUUAUUCAACACAAUUUCCCAUUAGUCGAUUCCACUUACUUGUAUGAUUAUAGCAGCGUUGGUUCUCCUUCUAUGUCUGUAUACAUUUCGAGCUGCCAUCGCUCGUAGUCCUGUUUCUAUAACUAUUGCAGAUGAUCGCAGUUUUGUGUAAGCUUUUCUUGCAGCAUGAGAACGUGCAUAUUUCUGAAUGCGGAUUGAGGCAUCUUCUCUCCUCAUGCCUUCAUAUAACUUGCGUGCAAGACGUGCUGCAGAUGGUAAUAAUGCUACAUCAAGUUAUCCGCAGGACUAAUUUGGUAUCCUAUAAGGCGAAUCAUAGAAAAUAACCUCUCCAUAGUUUUUGCAUUUGAAUUGAGGCUUUGCGCAGUAUUAUGAAUUCUUUUCGAGCAAGAUGUGUGCGUAUCUGCCUCUGAAUUAGUUUGGAAGCAUUAGAUAAGACUUCCAUUCGUCGGGCAUCUAGCUCAGCCAUCUGACCAGCUCUGAGGAACACUUUUGUCUUUCCUAUCUGAUAGCAAGAUAUGUGAGUGGUGUUUAGAUUUAGAAUAUAUAAUUCAUAUUCAUUUAGGUAGUUUCUAUCUCUGAUGUCCUUUUUCUUAGUUUAUUGUUUAUUCACUGAAUGCACCUGAUAACCUUUCAAGCCCAUAUUGUCACAUAUAGCUGCACAUGCUGCUUUUUCGUCGGAGCUGCAAGAUUCAUUUGGACAUGUACCUGUCUACAAGAUCUGGUGCAAGAAUUCCAAAGCGAUCAACAAAUUCAUCAAAUGUUCUCUUUGUGGGAUAGCCAGCACAACUAAUCCUGAUUGCCUCUAGCACACCCUAGAUUAGGAGCGAAGAGGACAUUGAAAUUCUCAAAGAUGCCUGGUUUUAAGACUGCAUUGGGCUUCACACAUCUGAUGUAAUGUGGUUCUGUCGUGCUCAAUGUUUCCAUAAGUGCUUGAAGUUGUUGCUGCAAAUUUCACCUAAACAACUAUCACAAAAUUGAAGAAGAGCAUCAGAACUGAUAAUAUUUCAAAUCUGUAGCCCUUGCAUACCUUAAAGCGAGUGCCUAUUGAGGAGAACUUUGACUGUUUUGAAGUUUCCUCUGCUAAUGGUGGAAAGAGGUUUGCCACAAAAGGGCACUUUGAAUCAUUUAAAAGAGCUUGAUGUUCUGCGACAACAUAGUCUUUGUUCUUAUCAAGGAAUUGAUCAGCUUGCAUAAUGGUUGAUGGUGAAUGCAGUGCGUGCAAGUUUUGGCUUGCUAAAACGUUUGUGGCUUUUGUAUGUUUGGUACAUCUUCUGAGCAAAGAUAAUUUUCCAACCAAAAGAAAAGAAGGAAACAGAUGUACCAUGCUUCAUCAAGUAGCGCAACUAUUCCGCCGGGUUUCUGCAUUGAAACAGGGUUUGAAUUACUCAUUGUGGGUAUAGUGUGAAUGCCAAGGGCGAUGUGUCUUUUACCUCCAAGACCUGCUGCUCGACGGUUCGGCCCUCUGUACCUGAUCUCCCUCCCAUGAAAGCUAGAUAUCUCAUGAGCAUCUUCGUGGUCUCUGUUUUGCCAGCUCCGCUCUCUCCGCUAACCAAGAUCGAUUGGCUUCCAUGGUCAUUUAUGAUUGCCCUGAUAUUGCCUCAAUGGCAGUUUCAUAUUAGUACACUUCAAUUAGAAUGUGAUGAUAGCACUCUGAACUCUUUACACACUACCUGUAGCAAGCAUCUGCAACUGCAAAAAGAUGAGGACUUAGCUCACCGAAAGCAGCACCCUUGUACUGUUCCAUCAUGUGGACAUCAUACAGAUGUGGAAGUCUCCGAAAGGGGUUCACGGCUAUCAAUAUAUUUCCAGUGUUGAUCAGGAAGAUAGAACGUACAUAAAUCUCAUUCAGUGUAUAGCGAGCUGCGAGGUUAUUCAGAACUCCUGGUUCAUGGAGGUAAGCCAAUUUGGUCAUGUCAUCCACUCCAGCCUGAGGAGCCUCUGUAUCUUUCGGGUAUAUACUCGACAGACUAGCCACGACCUGCGUAAUUGAUCGAGACUCGUGAGAUAUGCUGCUGAAAAGUAUCGAGAUACUUCAGGCUGGAGCAAACAAUAUCAUCUUCCGCUAUCAAAACGAGAAAUUGUCGACUUCAUUGUAACAUUUGUCUGUUGUAGUAAAUCCAUCGCACCGAGAAAGAAACUGUAUGAUCUUAUAAAAUAUUGUCUCCAGAAGUAGAUGACCCAUUUGUUGUGAUACAACACGAGUAAAUCGUUGCAGAUUUGUAUAUGAAUUACUAACUGGAUUCCAUCUUAUACUACCCUCGUGGCUUGAUUCUUCA